AUUCCUGGCGGCGAUGGGGUUCGCCUUUCCCUGUUCCUGACGGACAGGGUGAUGACUCCUACCAUGGG
rnacentral:ncRNA from 2 species